UCGAGGAUUAUUCGCAAUGGGCGAAAGCCUGACGAUGCGACGCUGCGUGAGCGAUGAAGGCCUUCGGGUCGUAAAGCUCUUUCGCGCAAGAACAAGGAAGAGAUGUGAAUAGCAUUUUGACUUGAGUGUACUGCGUAAAGAAGCACCGGCUAACUCCGUGCCAGCAGCUGCGGUAAUACGGAGAGUGCAAGCAUUAAUCGGAAUUAUUGGGCGUAAAGGGCGCGUAGGCGGAAAGAUAAGUCAGAUGUGAAAUUCCAAAGCUCAACUUUGGAGCUGCAUUUGAAACUAUGAUUCUAGAGGGAUGGCGGAGAAAACGGAAUUCCACGUGUAGCGGUGAAAUGCGUAGAUAUGUGGAAGAACACCAGUGGCGAAAGCGGUUUUCUAGCUUUAAACCUGACGCUGAGGCGCGAGAGCAAGGGGAGCAAACAGGAUUAGAUACCCGCGUAGUCC
rnacentral:rRNA from 1 species